UGCCUCUGCACCGUAUUGUUAUUUUUACUUGCACCGUUUCUAUUUGAAGACUGGCUGCUUUUUAGUGGGCCAAGGGAAGAUGAAGUAUUCAGUCUGAGGAAAGGAUGAACAGUACUUUUAUGUAAGACAAAAUGGGAAACACGAUUCGCUAAGACCUGGCUGCAAUUUUCUGGAGCCAUUGGUGGGAGCCCCAACCUGAAAACCCACCUGGAGGACAGCAGGAGUGGGGGAGCUCAGCAGUGGUUAUCAGCUGGAGCUACAGGUGCUGCAUCACACUGAGGGGCUAAAACAGAUGACAGGAGGACAAGCAGAGCUGUAAUGCAUGACAUGACAUGCAAUGAGUGCCCACCAAUGUGGCAGAAGCAGCAGUGCUUCCCAGGGUCUUGCCAGCUUGCCUGUAGCUGGGGUGAAUGCUUGGCUAAGGUGCUGGGGGUAAGGAUAAAGGGGCACAGGGGUAGGAGACAAAUUUACAGCCUCUUUUUACUCUUGUUCUUCCUCAUUUUGCCUCUGCUUUACGACGUCUCUUUCAGUUUCUGCUCAAAUGAAAUCUGCCUUUCUAAACUCGCUCCUUUUUUGAGGGGAGGGAGUAUUGUUAGGAAAGGGUGAAGCAUGGCCAUCGCAAACUGUGUGGUUUUCUCAGGAAAGGGGGCAAGGGGAAAUAGUUUCAAACUGAAAGUGAUGAUGUUGAGAUUGGAUAUAAGAACUUUUUUUUUUACCAUAAGGCACA